rnacentral:lncRNA from 1 species
CGCCGUGUCCAUGCCCGGCAUGAUGGACACGGUGCUCAACCUGGGGCUCAACGACGAAGUGGCCGCCGGGCUGGCGGCCAAGAGCGGGGAGCGCUUCGCCUACGACUCCUUCCGCCGCUUCCUCGACAUGUUCGGCAACGUCGUGAGUACCCCCGCCUAGAGAUGGCCAAACGGGCCGGCCCGGCCCGGGCCCGGUGAAGCCCGGCCAAAACCGGGCCGGGCCUGCUGAGCCAGCGGGCUUAAUUUUCUGUCCAAGCCCGGCCCGCAGCGGGCUUAAACGGGCCGGGCCGGCCCGUUUAGCACGAAAAAACGGGCCGAAAAGCGGGCUAAACGGGCCGGUAAGCACGUUUUAGUGUAAAAAAACGGGUUUAACGGGCUUAGAGGUAAACGGGCCGUGCCGGGCUAGCCCGUCGUGCCUAGUUUCCUGUCCAAGCCCGCCCGCUUAUUCUACCGUGCCGGGCUCGGACCAGACCCAAAAAGCGGGCUUCGUGCCGGGCUCACGGGCCUCGUGCUUUUUGUCCAUCUAUACCCCCGCCCGUAGCUAGCUGCUUCGAUUCCGCGCCCUGACUCAGCUCCUCGCUUCCAUUCCCGUCCGCCGGUUGUUGUUACUGCUAGCUUGUCCCACUAGCUAGGUGCAGUAGGUGCCUAGUUUUGCGCGCAUCGCGUCGCGUCGACGACGACCCAUCCUCCACCGCGCUGCCGUGGCCGCAACCAAGGCUGGAUGGAGCUUUUGUCUGUUUGCCAGGCCAGCCGUUGCUUUGGGUUAAAAGUGCAAAAAAAAAUGAUGAAGGUCACGCUACGAACUAAACAGACCAUAUACGUACGGCAUCGGCAUGUAAACUUGGCUUGUCGGACUCGAGAAACGAAAGAACGAUGACUCAAACUGCUCUCAGAUUUUGUUUCAUUGUUUGUGUUUACCAGGUCAUGGACAUCCCCCGCUCACUGUUCGAAGAGAAGCUUGAGCACAUGAAGGAAUCCAAGGGGCUGAAGAACGACACCGACCUCACGGCCUCUGACCUCAAAGAGCUCGUGGGUCAGUACAAGGAGGUCUACCUCUCAGCCAAGGGAGAGCCAUUCCCCUCAGGUACAUACCGGCCCGUCGAUCGAUCGUCCUCAGCUCUACUGAUCGAUGGAGCUAGCGGUAGCUUUCCCUGUGCACCGAAAUCAUGUGCUUGCCUGCCUUGCAGACCCCAAGAAGCAGCUGGAGCUGGCAGUGCUGGCUGUGUUCAACUCGUGGGAGAGCCCCAGGGCCAAGAAGUACAGGAGCAUCAACCAGAUCACUGGCCUCAGGGGCACCGCCGUGAACGUGCAGUGCAUGGUGUUCGGCAACAUGGGGAACACUUCUGGCACCGGCGUGCUCUUCACCAGGAACCCCAACACCGGAGAGAAGAAGCUGUAUGGCGAGUUCCUGGUGAACGCUCAGGUAUGAGUCGGCCUCAGGCUUCCAUUGCGCGCCUGUUCGUGCAUGGAUACACUUACGUACGUUACUUGACGCCAUGCAUGCAACAAUUCGUUUCCUGCUCAGGGUGAGGAUGUGGUUGCCGGAAUAAGAACCCCAGAGGACCUUGACGCCAUGAAGAACCUCAUGCCACAGGCCUACGACGAGCUUGUUGAGAACUGCAACAUCCUGGAGAGCCACUAUAAGGAAAUGCAGGUACAGUUUAAAUUUUCACCUUCUAAUUUAAACACCACACCACCGUCUCUCUCUCUCUCUCUCUCUCUCUGGAUCCUGAUGUUUCUUCUCCAGAUGAUGUGAGCUCAGGCUGAGACUUGGUUUUUCUUUGGCGUGUGUGAUCAUGCAGGAUAUCGAGUUCACUGUCCAGGAAAACAGGCUGUGGAUGUUGCAGUGCAGGACAGGGAAACGUACGGGCAAAAGUGCCGUGAAGAUCGCCGUGGACAUGGUUAACGAGGGCCUUGUUGAGCCCCGCUCAGCGAUCAAGAUGGUAGAGCCAGGCCACCUGGACCAGCUUCUCC